rnacentral:misc_RNA from 1 species
GUGAAUCAUCGAAUCUUUGAACGCAAAUUGCACUUUCUGGUAUUCCGGAAAGUAUGCCUGUUUGAGGGUCAGUUAAAUAAAAAUCGGUGCUGUUGCUGCCUUUCGUGGCGACGCGUCGGAAUUGGGUUGUCUUUCCUUCGGAUAAGAUUCUUAAACUUUUUGCAUGAUACUCGAACGUAUUUAAAUCUCUUAUGUACGUU